UGCUAGUUGUGCGGGUUUAGACCCGCAGCGGAAAGCUCAGUAACACGUGGCCAAACUACCCUGUGGAUGGGAACAAUCUCGGGAAACUGAGGCUAAUUCCCAAUAACGCUCCACCCCUGGAACGGGCGGAGCUGGAAACGCUACGGCGCCACAGGAUGUGGCUGCGGUCGAUUAGGUAGACGGUGGGGUAACGGCCCACCGUGCCAAUAAUCGGUACGGGUUGUGAGAGCAAGAGCCCGGAGACGGAAUCUGAGACAAGAUUCCGGGCCCUACGGGGCGCAGCAGGCGCGAAACCUUUACACUGUACGCAAGUGCGAUAAGGGGACUCCGAGUGUGAAGGCAUAGAGCCUUCACUUUUGUACACCGUAAGGUGGUGUACGAAUAAGGGCUGGGCAAGACCGGUGCCAGCCGCCGCGGUAAUACCGGCAGCCCGAGUGAUGGCCGAUAUUAUUGGGCCUAAAGCGUCCGUAGCUGGCCGGACAAGUCCGUUGGGAAAUCUGUUCGCUUAACGAGCAGGCGUCCAGCGGAAACUGUUCGGCUUGGGACCGGAAGACCUGAGGGGUACGUCCGGGGUAGGAGUGAAAUCCUGUAAUCCUGGACGGACCACCGGUGGCGAAAGCGCCUCAGGAGGACGGAUCCGACAGUGAGGGACGAAAGCUAGGGUCUCGAACCGGAUUAGAUACCCGGGUAGUCCUAGCUGUAAACGAUGCCCGCUAGGUGUGGCGCAGGCUACGAGCCUGCGCUGUGCCGUAGGGAAGCCGAGAAGCGGGCCGCCUGGGAAGUACGUCUGCAAGGAUGAAACUUAAAGGAAUUGGCGGGGGAGCACUACAACCGGAGGAGCCUGCGGUUUAAUUGGACUCAACGCCGGACAUCUCACCAGCUCCGACAGUAGUAAUGACGGUC
rnacentral:rRNA from 1 species